rnacentral:misc_RNA from 1 species
GAUGAAGAACGCAGCGAAAUGCGAUAAGUAAUGUGAAUUGCAGAAUUCAGUGAAUCAUCGAAUCUUUGAACGCACAUUGCGCCCGCCAGUAUUCUGGCGGGCAUGCCUGUUCGAGCGUCAUUACAACCCUCAGGCCCCCGGGCCUGGCGUUGGGGAUCGGCGGAAGCCCCCUGCGGGCACAACGCCGUCCCCCAAAUACAGUGGCGGUCCCGCCGCAGCUUCCAUUGCGUAGUAGCUAACACCUCGCAACUGGAGAGCGGCGCGGCUACGCCGUAAAACACCCAACUUCUGAAUGUUGACCUCGAAUCAGGUAGGAAUACCCGCUGAACUUAAGCAUAUCAAUAAGCGGAGGA